rnacentral:rRNA from 1 species
UACGUAGGGUGCGAGCGUUGCCCGGAUUUAUUGGGCGUAAAGGGCGCGUAGGCGGCUCGGCACGUCCGUUGUGAAAUCGCCCGGCUCAACUGGGCGGGGUCAGCGGAUACGGUCGAGCUUGAGCAAGCUAGGGGGCAAUGGAAUUCCCGGUGUAGUGGUGGAAUGCGUAGAUAUCGGGAGGAACACCAGCGGCGAAGGCGGCAUCCUGGACUGGUCCUGACACUCAGGAGCGAAAGCGUGGGGAGCGAUCCGG